rnacentral:rRNA from 1 species
UACGAAGGGGGCUAGCGUUGCUCGGAAUGACUGGGCGUAAAGGGCGCGUAGGCGGAUUGCUUUGUCGGGCGUGAAAUUCCAGGGCUUAACCUUGGGGCUGCGUUCGAGACGGGUGAUCUUGAGUUCGGAAGAGGGUCGUGGAAUUCCCAGUGUAGAGGUGAAAUUCGUAGAUAUUGGGAAGAACACCGAUGGCGAAGGCAGCUCUCUGGACCGUUACUGACGCUGAGGCGCGAAAGCGUGGGGAGCAAACAGG